GUAAAAUACAUAUAGGUGAAAUGCUGAAACCAGGCGAAAAUGAAAAAACUCCAAGUCUUACGAAUCCUUCCGAGGCAUUUCCGAAGACUUCCGAAAAAAACAACGUACGUGUACACGCGUACGCGUAUUAUAGAAAAGUUACGGUCAUGACUUUCUAGUUUGAACUCACAUAUACCACAACAGCACUGUCAGUAGUGUCAACUGUCAGUGUUAUUUAGCAGUUGGUUUGCAUACGGAGAACAGUGACUUGAAACAAUAGAAUGGAAAAGUUGAAGGAGGAACGGGAUCGUUUAAUUGUACAGAACAUGGAACUACAACGUCAACUUCUUGAUAAAGAAAAAAGGCUUCUAGAAGUAAAAACACAAUCGCAAAAAGAUAACAUCGAAUUCCAGCGUAGAUUUCUAGAAAUGAAAAAGUCGACUUGUAUGUCGAAAAUUAAUAAAGUGAACAUAUCCAAGGAUGGAAAAGAAGAAACAUAAUAUCCUCUUGUAUCACGUUGUACCCGAGGUAUAAUCGCUCGUUUUCAAAUACCUCGUGGUCUCUCUUAGUUCGAAUACCUAGGUAGUAUUGAAAAUAAGUUAUAAAACUGUACUUUGUUAAAUCAAACUUAUCACGUACUUUGUCUUAAAAUCAUAUUUGUUAAAUCAAACUUAUCACGUACUUUGUCUUAAAAUCAUAUCAUAUUCUUUUCGCACGCCACAGCAAAGUAACAAGUAACUUUUGAAGAUUUUUCAAGUUUUCGAAGUGACGCAAAGUAAUUAUUAAUCAGAUUGAUUACAAAUUACAAUAAUAUUAUAAAUAUAUAAUUCAAAGCA